rnacentral:rRNA from 1 species
AGUGAACGCUGGCGGUAGGCCUAACACAUGCAAGUCGAACGGCAGCACAGUAAGAGCUUGCUCUUACGGGUGGCGAGUGGCGGACGGGUGAGGAAUACAUCGGAAUCUACUUUUUCGUGGGGGAUAACGUAGGGAAACUUACGCUAAUACCGCAUACGACCUACGGGUGAAAGCAGGGGAUCUUCGGACCUUGCGCGAUUGAAUGAGCCGAUGUCGGAUUAGUUAGUUGGCGGGGUAAAGGCCCACCAAGGCGACGAUCCGUAGCUGGUCUGAGAGGAUGAUCAGCCACACUGGAACUGAGACACGGUCCAGACUCCUACGGGAGGCAGCAGUGGGGAAUAUUGGACAAUGGGCGCAAGCCUGAUCCAGCCAUACCGCGUGGGUGAAGAAGGCCUUCGGGUUGUAAAGCCCUUUUGUUGGGAAAGAAAAGCAGCAGGUUAAUACCCCGCUGUCCUGACGGUACCCAAAGAAUAAGCACCGGCUAACUUCGUG